UUCCUAGUGUCUCAGUUGGUAAAGAAUCUGCCUGCAAUGCAGGAGACCUGGGCUCAGUCCCCAGGUCGGGAA
rnacentral:tRNA from 1 species